CCGUCGACAUGCACAGUUUUUUUUUUUUGCAAAAACCCCCUCGCGGCCGGCAUUUACUGAGGAGAGAGAAAGGUGUCGUCGUCUCGUUCGUCGCCGGCUUCGGCGCGUGGUACAAGAUGAAGCGACGAGCAGCACGAGCGUUGUACGAACUGUUGCGGCUCGUCGACGGCGGCGAGGAUCCGGUGCGCACGGAGGGAAUCGUUUGGCGGCAACAGUUGGCGCCAUCUUCCCCAUCAUCCCCGAAAAAUCCCCUCCUCCCUUGAUAAAAUCCCCACGCGUGGUGCUCCUCUCCUACCUGACGGCCACCAUGUCGCGGCAGGCAGAGAAGGCGGCGGCGGUGGCAGCCCGAGUUGCUCCGCGCGAUGCUUGCGGCAGGCGCGGGUGCGGUGGCCUGAAGACCCAGCAGUGGUGUCAGGAGGGCGAGGCCCCGCCCGUGCAUCUCGGCGCCUAGCCGCAGCCUGUGGGGCAGCGGCAGCCUCCCCACCGCAGGUCAGGCCCAUGCUUGCUCGCAGCGCGGCCGCCGAGAUCUCCCCACUACCGCCGAGGCCUCCACGGCGCUGCUCGCCCACGACGCCUCCUCUCCUUGCUCUCGUAGGGGCUCCGUGCCUCCAUGGGGCUAGUGGGACAUCAAAUUUCAGUUUUCAUCAACGCCUAGGUCUGAUUCAGAUCCUUUUCAUGGCCUCCCCGAGCACGAUGCUUCGCUAGUUUGACACAGGCACCAGCUCAGCAAAGGAGCAAAAGGAGGCAGCACAGAUUCUCAAAUGAUUCUGAAAUGAGGGAAGCGUUUGGACCUAGUGUUUGAGGAUCUGUUGGAUUUUGUGAACCGAGUAUCUUCUGCAAGUGUAAACUAUCAUCUUUUAUUUAUUUACCUCCAUGUGCGAACAAGUGUAAAGUAUUAGAAUAUAUUUAUUCCAUUCUCCACUCCAUGGAACCUAUACUCUGCCUGACGAAGUGCUGCAGACUGGUGCUCCUGGUGGUGAUGCGCAACCUUUGCCUGGUGGUGAUGCGCAAGCGCUGCUGCAGGCUGAAGAUCCUGCAGUCUGCACCAACCUGGGUGGUGAUCCUGCAUUGCAUGGCGAAGAGUUGUACUAAUUAUUUGAUAUAUUGUGUAUUCUUCUAUGUAUACAAUAAAUUGACUACAAAGAUCAAAUUAUGCAUUAGAUCACCA